rnacentral:misc_RNA from 1 species
UGGUAUUCCAUAUUCUAGAAAUGCCUAGAAAACAAGACAGCAUUGUAAGUGGUCUUUUCCAUCAAUACUUGAUAAUGGUGUAGAAAAGAACAAUUAUAUACUUGCUUCUACUUCAAAGAAAAGAAAUAUUGACAAAUAUGGGAUUUGAUAGAAAAGAAGCCAUUGAAAUUAUACGAAGAGAGGCAUCACAUACAUUCAUCAUGCA